GAUGAACGCUAGCGGCAGGCUUAAUACAUGCAAGUCAAGGGGGUAGCAAUACAACCGGCGCACGGGUGAGUAACGCGUACACAACAUACCAUAUACUGGAGUAUAGCUUCGGGAAACUGAAGGUAAUCCUCCAUAACAUUGCGAGAAGGCAUCUAAUUGCAAUUAAAGUUUCGACGGUAUAUGAUUGGUGUGCGUUUGAUUAGCUAGUUGGUAGGGUAACGGCCUACCAAGGCGACGAUCAAUAGCUGGCGUGAGAGCGCGACCAGCCACACUGGAACUGAGACACGGUCCAGACUCCUACGGGAGGCAGCAGUAGGGAAUAUUGGACAAU
rnacentral:rRNA from 1 species